rnacentral:rRNA from 1 species
GCGGACGGGUGAGUAACACGUGGAUAACCUACCUAUAAGACUGGGAUAACUUCGGGAAACCGGAGCUAAUACCGGAUAACAUAUUGAACCGCAGGGUUCAAUAGUGAAAGGCGGCUUUGCUGUCACUUAUAGAUGGAUCCGCGCCGUAUUAGCUAGUUGGUAAGGUAACGGCUUACCAAGGCAACGAUACGUAGCCAACCUGAGAGGGUGAUCGGCCACACUGGAACUGAGACACGGUCCAGACUCCUACGGGAGGCAGCAGUAGGGAAUCUUCCGCAAUGGGCGAAAGCCUGACGGAGCAACGCCGCGUGAGUGAUGAAGGUCUUCGGAUCGUAAAACUCUGUUAUCAGGGAAGAACAAAUGUGUAAGUAACUGUGCACAUCUUGACGGUACCUGAUCAGAAAGCCACGGCUAACUACGUGCCAGCAGCCGCGGUAAUACGUAGGUGGCAAGCGUUAUCCGGAAUUAUUGGGCGUAAAGCGCGCGUAGGCGGUUUUUUAAGUCUGAUGUGAAAGCCCACGGCUCAACCGUGGAGGGUCAUUGGAAACUGGAAAACUUGAGUGCAGAAGAGGAAAGUGGAAUUUCCAUGUGUAGCGGUGAAAUGCGCAGAGAUAUGGAGGAACACCAGUGGCGAAGGCGACUUUCUGGUCUGUAACUGACGCUGAUGUGCGAAAGCGUGGGGAUCAAACAGGAUUAGAUACCCUGGUAGUCCACGCCGUAAACGAUGAGUGCUAAGUGUUAGGGGGUUUCCGCCCCUUAGUGCUGCAGCUAACGCAUUAAGCACUCCGCCUGGGGAGUACGACCGCAAGGUUGAAACUCAAAGGAAUUGACGGGGACCCGCACAAGCGGUGGAGCAUGUGGUUUAAUUCGAAGCAACGCGAAGAACCUUACCAAAUCUUGACAUCCUUUGACCGCUCUAGAGAUAGAGUCUUCCCCUUCGGGGGACAAAGUGACAGGUGGUGCAUGGUUGUCGUCAGCUCGUGUCGUGAGAUGUUGGGUUAAGUCCCGCAACGAGCGCAACCCUUAAGCUUAGUUGCCAUCAUUAAGUUGGGCACUCUAAGUUGACUGCCGGUGACAAACCGGAGGAAGGUGGGGAUGACGUCAAAUCAUCAUGCCCCUUAUGAUUUGGGCUACACACGUGCUACAAUGGACAAUACAAAGGGCAGCUAAACCGCGAGGUCAAGCAAAUCCCAUAAAGUUGUUCUCAGUUCGGAUUGUAGUCUGCAACUCGACUACAUGAAGCUGGAAUCGCUAGUAAUCGUAGAUCAGCAUGCUACGGUGAAUACGUUCCCGGGUCUUGUACACACCGCCCGUCACACCACGAGAGUUUGUAACACCCGAAGCCGGUGGAGUAACCAUUUAUGGAGCUA